rnacentral:rRNA from 1 species
AUACAGAGGGUGCGAGCGUUAAUCGGAAUUACUGGGCGUAAAGCGCGCGUAGGCGGCUACUUAAGUCAGAUGUGAAAUCCCCGGGCUCAACCUGGGAACUGCAUCUGAUACUGGGUAGCUAGAGUUUUGGAGAGGGAAGUAGAAUUUCAGGUGUAGCGGUGAAAUGCAUAGAGAUCUGAAGGAACACCAGCGGCGAAGGCGACUUCCUGGCCAAAAACUGACGCUGAGGUGCGAAAGCGUGGGUAGCAAACGGGAUUAGAAACCCUAGUAGUCC